rnacentral:rRNA from 1 species
GAUGAACGCUGGCGGCGUGCCUAAUACAUGCAAGUCGAGCGAACGGACGAGAAGCUUGCUUUUCUGAUGUUAGCGGCGGACGGGUGAGUAACACGUGGAUAACCUACCUAUAAGACUGGGAUAACUUCGGGAAACCGGAGCUAAUACCGGAUAAUAUUUUGAACCGCAUGGUUCAAAAGUGAAAGACGGUCUUGCUGUCACUUAUAGAUGGAUCCGCGCUGCAUUAGCUAGUUGGUAAGGUAACGGCUUACCAAGGCAACGAUGCAUAGCCGACCUGAGAGGGCGCGCGGCCAACCAGGAAAGGAGACCGGGCCCAGCCUCCUACGGGAGGAACAGGGAGGAAUCCUCCCGAAAGGGGCGAAAGCCUGACGGACAAACGCCGCGGGAGGGAUAAAGGUUUUAGUAUCUUAAAACUCUUUUAUGAGGGAAAAACAUAUGUGAAAGUAACUGUGCACAUCUUGAGGUACCCUAAUAAGAAGACCACGGCAAACUCCGUC